AGAAAAAAAAAAAAAAAAAGAAGAAAAACAGAACGACAAAGAGGAGAAGAAGGAAAAGAAGGGAGGCCGAUGGAGAAAGAAAAGAAGAGGAAACAGUGGGUAAUCAAGAGGAAGAAGGAAAAUGGGAGAAGAAGGCAAGCUUGAGAGAGUUCAUUCAUCCACUACCACAAUACUCACCUCACAUCAUUAUCAUUAUCAUCAUCUUCAACUUCAAUUUCCAAUUUUAAGGUGAAGAUGGUGAUAAGUUGAGUUUGAUUAAACUUGCUAAGAUAAUUGAGGUUUCUGCAAAGAAAGGAACUCGUGAUCUCAAGCUCCAGGGCAAGCUGAUUGGCUGCCUGAUUCUAUAGGGAAGUUAUCUAGCCUGAUUCUUGGUAUAAUAUUUCACUAUUGCAAUUUUGUCAUGGUCCUUGAGUGCUAGGAAUUAUGGUGACAGCCACAGUUGUAAAAAUUGGGCUCAUGACAUAUUGGAUGCGGCUUAAUCGAAACUUGCUUUAUUUGUUAUUUGUGAAAUGUUUUCAGAAGAUUAAAACAUCCAGAUUUAUAAGAAUGACUUUUUUUGUUAAUUAAGGUUUUGGCCAUGGUGAAGAAGACACCUGCUUAUAAAAAUAAACUAAGGGUGUUGGAUGUUGAGCGCAGAGUUACCUAGACAAGUGGAUAUGACAUAAGUGAAGCAGUACCAUUUGUUGGAUGGGGUCCAAAGGGUGGAAAGCAGAUACAAUCUGCUGCUGGAACACUGACAUUUAAUCGCAACAGCAUGUGUGGUCAACCUGCACGAACCGUUGGCUGGCGUGAUCCUGGUUUUAUACAUACAAGUUUCCUUAAAGAACUUUGGCCAAAUAUGAGGUGAAGAGUUUGAGGGAAGGAUUUGGUUUGAGGGGAUCAAGUAGCAAUUCUAACAGGGCAGUUUCGUCGUCGUCUCCUCCUACCGUGCAGCUGAGUAUGCGUCAUGCGCCACUUCAGCCGUAGUAGACUUCUAGGAAACAGAGGAGAUGCUCAUCACCGGAAUUGCACCGGAGAUUUGUUAAUGCGUUGCAGAAGCUUGGAGGUUCUCAAGGAGAUGUUUUUUAUGUAAACUGGGGCGAAGUACUUCCUGGAGCUACUGCAGUAGUCUCAACCCUCGGAGGUUUUGGUAGCGAGGAACAAAUGAGUAAGAUUAACGGCGAGGCUAAUGUUGUGGCUGUAAAUGCUGCAGAGGAGGAUAUUGAAUUGACUUCAACUCUAUUGCAUCAAAUCCAGAAACAUAAAAGAUAUCGUGCCUUCAACUCAAGUGUUCAGAAAAUUUCAUUUAUAGCUCAUUCUUUAGGUGGCUUGAUAGCAAGGUAUGCAAUAGCCAAGCUUUAUGAGAGAGAUAUUUCUAAGGAACUAUCUCAAGGGAAUGUACAUAGUGAGAGUCAGAUUUCCAAUCAAGAAUGUCAUAUUAGAAAAUAUGAAGGAAAAAUUGCAGGACUGGAGCCUAUUAAUUUUAUUACGUCUACAAUGCCGCACCUUGGUUGUAGAGGGCAUAAGCAGCUAAUUCUUUUGGACAUGUAGUAUAUCAUGUUUUUUUUAUUAAAUUUUGUGUGAGUUGUCUGAUGAAACUUUACUGCAAAUAAUGUCAUUUGUCUCCUUUACUUUGGCUGAUUACACUGCUACAAGUGAUUGUUAUUGAGGGUAAUUAAAUAGGAGUUUGCAACACCAUGGUGUAAAAAAAUAGGUAUGUCAUACUAAUCUGUGUUGGUGAAAGCUUCAUGACAUGGUUUUGGAAUUUCACAUACUUUAAGUUCCUUUGUUAUGUGGAUUUGACUCUUUGGAGAAAACAACAUCUCGUCUUUCACGGUUUUUUGGUAAAAAUAUCAAAAUUAUUAGGCCGAACGCCGUGACCAAGGUUACAAGAUAGUUGAGGUUUUGGGAGGCCUUCUUCAAUCCAGCAAAUGGUAAUUGCUCCUUUCUGUGAAGGUUUGGAUGUGAUUUUACAAUAUCCGGCCAAUGGAAAACAAUGAUUGAUGCAAGUAACAUUCAGCACGGAUCAUACAUGAUCAUAGGUGCACCGAUACCAAGAACAGUUAACACUGCAUUUAUUAACUUUAAACAACUAUCAAUCUUUAGAAAUAAGAAUUUUAGAAUUUUAGUUCAGCAUUCAACUUCUAUGUUUAUCUAUCUUUGUUUUUCAGAUUCUGGUAAACGAACAAUUUGAAGGCAAGUGCCAUACUCUUAUCAUUUACAGUUUUUCGGAUUUAUAUGCAUGUAAUAUGUAUGAUUUGAA